GAGGGCAUUUUUGUCAUUUCGCAUCCGGGCGUAUAAAAGCCAACCGCUCCUGUGGAGAGGACCUGGCCGCCGCUCUCCUCUUCCUGCCGCCUCGGCUCACUCCUCCCAUCUCAGCUCUCUCCUCCCUCCAAACCCUAGCCCCGCACGCCGCCGGUCGCGCGGCUCCGCCUCCUACUCUCCUCCUCCCCUUGAAGCCCGAGCGCGUCUGACCGCGGGGUGGCCGGCGGCAACGGGCGAGCGGGGGCGGCUGGGCGCGCCGAGCGGGGGCCGGUGUGGCAGGCGAACAGCGGCAGCCGGAGGCGAGGCCAAGGGCGGGCGAGCAGCAAGCGCACGGGGCUGGCGAGGCGGCGCGGGCGCGGGCGGCUGGCGCGUCUGCGGGCGGCAGCGGCAACAGCGCGCAGCAGCAGGCAGCGGCGACCGCGAGCGCGCGGGGCUGGCGAGGAUGCGGCAGCGUGGCAGGGCGGCGAGCAACGGGAAGUAGCAGGAGCUCGCCGCGCGUGUGGAGCUGCGUGGACCAGCGGGUCGACGCUCCGUGCUCUCCCUACGCCGCAGCAGCCUCUUCGCGUCUCCCCGCCCCUGUCGCCGCCGGUGACCCCUGUGCCCCUUCUUCUCCGUGCUCGGCCACCCCGCGCCACUGCUGCACCUGUCGCUUCUCCCUCCGCCUCUAGACUGGGCAUGUGGAGCGCGGCGCUGUCGCCAUUGUCCUCGACGUACGGGGAGCGCUGGCUGCAGAGAAGGCCAUCCACGGUGCCGUCGCCCCACAACAGAGAAGGUCGAGAAGGAUUCUGGGUGGUUUGGCCUAUCCCUUAUGCUUUUCCUUUUUCCCUUUUCAAUUUACGCUUUGCUGCUCUUCGAUUUGAUCCAUUACAGUGUUGUAGCUGCAAGUGUUGGACUGGUCGUUCCUCUAACCGGAGGCCUUGCGAUGGUUCUGUUGGGUUCAGGUAAAACCCGGCAAUGAACUUUAGAGUUAGUAUCCUCAAGUUACUUUUUAACUGCAUUACUAGACAGCGGUUGGCUUUCAGUUACCAGGUUAGUAUCAUAUCUGAAAGAAUGGCAAUUGUGACAGUAACUUUAUGCUGCUUGAUACUGUGCUGUACUACACAUAUAUAUCAUUACCAAUCUAUUUUUUGUUUACCUUUUCCUGACUUUAGAAAGGUGAUGUUUCAUUAUGCUUGGUACAAACAACUGGCAGCUAUGGUGCCUUCCUAAUCCAAGCAUAUGUUAUUUUUC